AACCUGCCUUAUAGUGGGGGGAUAGCCUUUCGAAAGGAAAGAGUUAAUACCGCAUAAGAUUGUAGUAUCGCAUGAUAUAGCAAUUAAAGGAGCAAUUCGCUAUAAGAUGGACCCGCGUCGCAUUAGCUAGUUGGUGAGGUAAUGGCUCACCAAGGCGACGAUGCGUAGCCGACCUGAGAGGGUGAUCGGCCACAUUGGGACUGAGACACGGCCCAGACUCCUACGGGAGGCAGCAUG
rnacentral:rRNA from 1 species